rnacentral:rRNA from 1 species
CCUACGGGAGGCAGCAGUGGGGAAUAUUGCACAAUGGGGGAAACCCUGAUGCAGCAACGCCGCGUGAAGGAAGACGGUUUUCGGAUUGUAAACUUCUAUCAGCAGGAACGAGACAAGACGGUACCUGACUAAGAAGCCCCGGCUAACUACGUGCCAGCAGCCGCGGUAAUACGUAGGGGGCAAGCGUUAUCCGGAAUCACUGGGUGUAAAGGGAGCGUAGACGGCUGAGCAAGCCUGAAGUGAAAGGCAGGGGCCCAACCCCUGGACUGCUUUGGGAACUGUACGGCUGGAGUGCAGGAGAGGUG